CCUACGGGUGGCAGCAGUGAGGAAUAUUGGUCAAUGGACGAGAGUCUGAACCAGCCAAGUAGCGUGAAGGAUGACUGCCCUAUGGGUUGUAAACUUCUUUUAUAUGGGAAUAAAAUGUUCCACGUGUGGGAUUUUGUAUGUACCAUAUGAAUAAGGAUCGGCUAACUCCGUGCCAGCAGCCGCGGUAAUACGGAGGAUCCGAGCGUUAUCCGGAUUUAUUGGGUUUAAAGGGAGCGUAGGUGGAUUGUUAAGUCAGUUGUGAAAGUUUGCGGCUAAACCGUAAAAUUGCAGUUGAAACUGGCAGUCUUGAGGACAGUAGGGGUGGGCGGAAUUGGUGGGGAAGCGGGGAAAUGCUUAGAUAUCACGAAGAAAUCCGAUUGCGAAGGCAGCUCACUGGACUGCAACUGACACUGAGGCUCGAAAGUGUGGGUAUCAAACAGGAUUAGAUACCCUUGUGUC
rnacentral:rRNA from 1 species